rnacentral:misc_RNA from 1 species
CGCACCUUGCGCUCCCUGGUAUUCCGGGGAGCAUGCCUGUUUGAGUGUCAUGGUAUUCUCAACCUUCAUAACUUUUUGUUAUCGAAGGCUUGGACUUGGAGGUUGUGCUGGCUUCUCGUUAAGUCGGCUCCUCUUAAAUGCAUUAGCGUGAGUGUAACUGAUCGCUUCGGUGUGAUAAUUAUCUGCGCCGUAGUCGUGAAGUAACAUAAGCUUGCGCUUCUAGUCGUCCUUCAGCUGGACAAUUACUCUGACAUCUGACCUCAAAUCAGGUAGGACUACCCGCUGAACUUAA